rnacentral:tRNA from 1 species
GGGCCUUCAUGUUUCGUGGUUAUAUCUUCUCUUUGAUCAUGUAGAGGUUCCUUUAUUGUGCCUCGCCCGCCCU